GCUGGGGUGGAAAGAUAGGUUGCCUGGUCUGGAUGCUGCUAUGUUGGAAGCCCAUUUAAAGAACUCUGAGUCGCUGUGCAGGUUACAGGUUUUGCUGGAUCACUUAUCAGAGGCAAAGCAGGCAGAUUUAUCUGAGCUCAUAAACUCUUUUCCAUCGUUGUUUGGUGACAUUCCUACUCAGACGCACCUUAGCGAGCAUGAUAUCAAUGUCGGAGUCCCUCCACCAAUCAGGCAGAGGUUCUAUCAGGUUGCUGAGGAGUUGAGAUGAAGUUUGGUGGCAAGUCUAGAGCGGCGAUGGAUGACAAGCACCUGAUGAGUCAGUCUUACAAGGCAUGGGUGAAAAAUAAUUCAGCCUUAUUUACACUAGAUAUGGAUAAUCUAAAAGAAUAACUGUUAUAAUAUGGUUAAAUCAGUUGGUUCCGGGGUUGGGACCCUGUUUCUAUGGGGGAGGGUGUGACGGCCUCCUGCUUUAGCAGAGCCUGCUGUGUGUGUGUGUGUGUGUGUGUAUGUGUGUCUUAUAUUUCUGUCACCCUCCCACGUAGGCGGAGUUAUAAUCACUGGGAGCACCUGAUCAGUCAUCUGUUGGAUCCCUUCUGUUGAGCUCUUUUGUUAAAAGCACUAUGUGUUUGGUUAGUUGGCCUCGACCUGUUUGCUUAGGUCUGGACUUUAAGUAUUGGUUGGUUAUUUUAGGUUAAUCAUAGGUUGCUUAUUUGGGUUAAUAAAUUAUUUUAUUUUUUCAGGUUA